ensembl:lncRNA
GUUGGAGCGUCACAUCACGGCACUCGAGUUAAAAGCGGUUAUGUCCUACCCCUGCUCCCAAUCAAUUUAACUAUGUGGAAAAGUAAUCUACAUCACCACCUAGAUAAUCUUCUACAACUACUACCACAUUCACCACCACCUCAAGACAGUCCGUCUUAACUGGCCUUCCCAAAGAGGACACAUUGUGGUGUCUGAAUAUGAUCGAGUGUCUACUCUUUCCACUCUAGUGAACGCACGGGUGUGCUGUUCUCAGAUGUUCCCAGACAGUGCAAUAGCCAAGACCUCAACAUGUGCGGCAACAAAGUCCAGCUAUUUGUGCACACAUGGCUUGGCUCCUCAUUUCAAGCACUUGUCUAAAAAACUGUCUGCUGGGGAGGAGAACUAUGUACUUCUCUUUGAUGAGAGCCUUAACAGAAAAACACAGUCAAAACAGUGUGACUUUCAUGUCCGUUUAUGGGAUGAGGACAAAGUUGUGAUGAGAUUUUAUGAUUCUAAAUUUGUG